CUUUUCGCGUAUCUAGGCCACCAGCUGAUCGUGAAACGAGGCGCGGUAAACAAAGCGAAUCGCGUCUGCCGUCAGUCGUAAGAGUCGGCGGUGUUGUGCGACAGUUCUACGUACGACGGUGCCAAUUCAAGAUACUAAAGACUGGACUUAGCAUUUUCAGCUUUUCAAAGAACCCUGAAAAGUAAGUAUUUACGUGUACUUAGUCGUUAGCGAUAUUUAAAAGGGUUUUUUUCUCUUGUGUAAUAGUGUCAAAAAAAUAGUUUUGUAGCCGAUGAGCCUUCCCCAUAAAUCUUAGUCUAGGGUAGAUCAAGCAGGCGACAGUGCAGUCCGGUUUGCGGGCCUCGUCAGUGCCAGCGCCGGGGCAGUAGCCUAGGCCUAGGAUGAAAAAUUAGACAAGCUUUGCUUACAAGCGAAUUGUGUGGAUUUCAAGUGACCUGUAAGAGAUCUCAUGCCAUUACUUGUAUCACCCGCUUUGAUAUUUCCCCUUUCAGCCAUGCAGCGUAGCUUGACCACCAGCUGAUCAUAAAACGAAGCGCGGUGGGCCUAGACCAAAAGGAUGACGUCUGCUGUUGUCAGUGUGUUUAUAGUGUCAGUGGGCGUUAUGUGACAGUCUAAUAGGCCCUAGCUGUGCCAAUUCAAGAUAGCUCUACAAAAGACUGGACCUAGCAUUCUUCAGAUUUCCAAAGAACUGAAAUUGCCAAGUGUCAGUGGUGUUCUGAGAAAGUUUGCGUACAACUGUGCCAAUUCAAGAAAAGACUGGACAUAGCAUAUUCUUCAGAUUUCCAAAGGACCCUGAAAUCCUCACAGCUAGACCACCAACUGAUCGUGGAAUAAAGAGGAUGGCGCCUGUCGUCAGUGUCAAAUGUCAGUGGUGUUCUGCAUGUAACUGUUCCAAUUCAAGAAACAAAAAACCGGGCCUAGCAUUCUUCAGAUUUCCAAGGGACCUUGAAAUGUAA